CGAAGGGGGCUAGCGUUGCUCGGAAUCACUGGGCGUAAAGCGCACGUAGGCGGACUCUUAAGUCGGUGGUGAAAUCCUGGAGCUCAACUCCAGAACUGCCUUCGAUACUGAGAGUCUCGAGUCCGGGAGAGGUGAGUGGAACUGCGAGUGUAGAGGUGAAAUUCGUAGAUAUUCGCAAGAACACCAGUGGCGAAGGCGGCUCACUGGCCCGGUACUGACGCUGAGGUGCGAAAGUGUGGGGAGCAAACAGGAUUAGAUACCCUGGUAGUCCACGCCGUAAACGAUGGAUGCUAGCCGUUGGCAGGCUUGCCUGUCAGUGGCGCAGCUAACGCAUUAAGCAUCCCGCCUGGGGAGUACGGUCGCAAGAUUA
rnacentral:rRNA from 1 species